GAUGAACGCUGGCGGCGUGCCUAAUACAUGCAAGUCGAGCGAACAGACGAGGAGCUUGCUCCUCUGACGUUAGCGGCGGACGGGUGAGUAACACGUGGAUAACCUACCUAUAUGACUGGGAUAACUUCGGGAAACCGGAGCUAAUACCGGAUAAUAUAUUGAACCGCAUGGUUCAAUAGUGAAAGACGGUUUUGCUGUCACUUAUAGAUGGAUCCGCGCCGCAUUAGCUAGUUGGUAAGGUAACGGCUUACCAAGGCAACGAUGCGUAGCCGACCUGAGAGGGUGAUCGGCCACACUGGAACUGAGACACGGUCCAGACUCCUACGGGAGGCAGCAGUAGGGAAUCUUCCGCAAUGGGCGAAAGCCUGAUGGAGCAACGCCGCGUGAGUGAUGAAGGUCUUCGGAUCGUAAAACUCUGUUAUUAGGGAAGAACAAAUGUGUAAGUAACUAUGCACGUCUUGACGGUACCUAAUCAGAAAGCCACGGCUAACUACGUG
rnacentral:rRNA from 1 species